rnacentral:rRNA from 1 species
GAUGAACGCUGGCGGCAUGCCUUAUACAUGCAAGUCGUGCGAGAAGUUACCUUCGGGUAGUGGAAAGCGGCGGACGGGUGAGUAACGCGUAGAAACAUACCCCAGAGUGAGGAAUAAGCAUCGGAAACGGUGUUUAAUACCGCAUAACGUCUACGGACAAAAGAUUUAUCGCUUUGGGAAUGGUCUGCGUCUGAUUAGCUAGUUGGUGAAGUAAAAGCUCACCAAGGCGAUGAUCAGUAGCUGGUUUGAGAGGAUGAUCAGCCACACUGGGACUGAGACACGGCCCAGACUCCUACGGGAGGCAGCAGUAGGGAAUUUUCCACAAUGGGCGAAAGCCUGAUGGAGCAAUGCCGCGUGCAGGAUGAAGGACCUCGGUUCGUAAACUGCUUUUAUAACUGAAGAUUAUGACGGUAAGUUAUGAAUAAGGAUCGGCUAACUACGUGCCAGCCGCCGCCGUAA